GUGGCAAGCAGGCUCCCAACCAUUGUAGCCCACAGUUAUUUCAGUAAACCUGUGCCUCUCUCCAGGGCACCCACCACUAACCAGGAAAUCAUCACUUCCAAGGUCCCAGGGCCUCAUAGCAGCACUGACUGACGGCUCAUACCAAAGUCUGUCUUUUCUGACAGCACUUGUAGAGACCCUCCACAUGACCUGUCAGCUGCCUGGGAACAGGAACCACUGUUUAGAGAUCCCAGAUGGCUUCCUAGUAGUCCAGUGGGUGAUGAUGAUGAUGAUGACGAUGAUGAUGACAAUGACGAUGGCGGUCAUCACUGUGUCCAUUUUACAAAUGGAGAAACAAGGACUUACAGAUGCUUACCCUCACCUCCUCGUGCAGACCUGGAGACCUCGUUUAACAAAGAGCAACACCCAUAUUGCACUGACUUGGUGUGAUUCUUCAGAAUCCUGGGAGAGAUACUGAUGGUCUCCUCUGAAGGAAAAGUAAAGUAAUAAAUUACCCCUUUUAAGAUAAA